UGCUGCUGUUGCCGAUUUUACUAUUGAUAGUAAUGAAAUUGCAAUUUCUUUUUUAUGCCUUUCAUAUAUUUGUGUAAUUCUCUUUUUUUAUUGUUACAAUGUUACUGACUCUUUAACAUUUGUUUAUCUUAUUUUUACAAUAGAUUAUCACACAUGCCAUUUUACAUAGUAUUAUUUUAUCCUUUGACAAUAUUAUUUCUAAAUUGUUUUUCUCCAAUACUUUAUGGUACUCGUGUAUUACACAAAAUGAUAAAUUUUAACAUUUUUCUCCCGACAUUUACUGUCAGCUCCAUAUUUAGUUUAUAUGUAAAAUUUCUUUUUCUAUUUGUUUCAAUAAGACAGGGUGUAUAUGUUGAUCCAUUCAUGGAAUCCAUUUUGAAUUGUAUGUUGCUCUCUCUACUGCCAAUAGUACUUUCUGCUAACAAAGUUUCCUUUUCUUUUUAUCUCAUAAACAACAACAUGGUGGGCUGAGUAGGUAUUUGUUUUUGGUAAUACUUUUUUCUGCUUUGUAUAUAUAAGUCCUUAUGGUUUCGUGUAUAACAACCAAUUGUUAAUGCUGAUGGUGUUGAAAGGGAGUGUUUGAAGGCAAAUUUAUAAUUAUAAACCUGGGACUCAUUUGGUUUGGAAUAUUUUAUUUAUAAUGAGUGGUUUAAUUUUCAAACAAAAUUUUCUGUAUUCGGCAUUCUCAGGCAUGUUUUUUUGGAGAAGAAAAAAUUAGACGAUAACGAACAAACAAAGCAUUCCCAUGCAGGUUUGGAAAGAAGACGAGAUUUCUUAGUGUUUGUGCGUUCAUUUAUAAUCAUGAUGUAAUUUCGUAAAUACCUUGUAGCCCCCUCAUUUUUAAAGAUUUUAUCUCAUUUUCCUAUUUUACGCUUUCAUCCAAUCGAUUCUGAAUUAUACAUUUCAUUUCAAUUAUUACAUAUUAUAGUUAGGAAAGCAAAUUAAAGGAACAUAGUAAUUGCGUUGCGGAACACUUCAUUGAUUACAAUUGUAUUUUUAUAUUUUUUAUAUUUCAGUAAAUUAAAACGAAGACAUCUCUGGAAAAGAUCACUUUUACUUCGCGUUUUCAUUUUUGAAGCAAGGAAGAAACGAAUAGAAGCACAAAAUUGUGCGAUACUAUUUUGAAUGUGAUACCACCGAAUGAGAGAUUCCAGAUAUUUCAGCAUUUUCAUAUGCAAAACACACACAGAAGUCUUAUCACAUACGUAUGAUUCAAUUCCAGGGGGAUGGGGUGUUAAUUUCAUGUUCUGUACAAGAUACUUCAUCAAUAGAUUGUGCUUGAAUUUUUUAUUUUAUGGGGACUACACACUCUUGGGCAGACAAAUAGUUUUAAGAUGGUCGCAAAAAUAUUCGUGCAUGUUUUCAGUGCAAUACUUAUGUUUAAUGCUGUUAAAUAUGUUUGUGAAGUCAUUGCUGUAACUAGUUUAUUAUUUCCUCAGAUGGAUAAAGUGAUUUGAUUAUAUUAUUUUCGCAUAUACUUGUUGUGAGAUUUAAUUUUUCUAUUAUUCCAUAUAUUAUAGGUUAAAGUUGUAUUAGAACGGGGAAGUUGCGCCAAUGGUUAUAAUAAUGAUUGAAUGUAGGCCUUGAAGUAUGUUAGAGCGCUUCAUUCAAGAAGUUAAUUAUUUUGGGUUUCUAAUCCACUACUCAGAAAGGACAAAAAUCUCACAUAAUGUGGUGGAUACUAUCACCUUAAAUUAGUACGGGGAUAAAUUCAGGACUGAAGUGGCGCCAUCUCAUAAAUACUUGAGUGAAAGGGAAAAAGGAUUCUCGUAGGUUCAGAUUAACUAAAUUAAUUUUACCGCCGAAAAGGACUGAAACUAGGACACCGCUAAAGGUGGAUGUACAAAUCAAUGUUACACGUAACAUGUACAUUAUUGGGUCCUCCAAUUGUGGGUAUUUGCACUUCAUGUACAUAGAGAAAAGGAAGCCCACUGGAUUUAAUCGAAUACUAGGAAAACAGGACAGGAUCUCUCUGUAACGAAGCCGAUCUGAGUUCCUUGAUCCAAUCGACUAUUUUUUUUACCUAGUGCACCGACAAAUCAAUAUUUGGACAAAAGAAUGCUAAUAUCAGUGUAAAGGUUUACUAUUACCCAAUGCAUUUGAAAUGAAUAAACGAGAGUUGAUAAAACUAAAAGUCACCUAAAAUUUUAAAUAAAGUAGCGCGAUUCUGAGUAAUUUACGAAUGGCUGUUCGUGAAAGACUUUCCUCUAGCAGCUUAUUCGGAUUACGUGAAAACAAAUAUUUGGCUGCAGUUACUAAUCGCUUGAAAAGAAAAUUUUUUUUUAGAUUUUCAGGAAAAGCUACGUGUCUCAGUGGUGCAGGUGUUAAAUGGUACCUGCGCUAUCUGAUGGAAGGCCUGAAACCAGAAGGCUAAGGAUAUACCUAAGCCAUCUCUACCGGAGCCGAGAAAGCGGGGAGCAGUAGAGAUCAGCCCGCAUGAAGGGAAUGCUCCCAAAAAAUCCAAACCUGAACCCAAGGGGGGAGAAAACCCGGGCAGGUCAGGGGUGAAGGCAGGACUCAGGAAGCCCACCAUUAGCUAGCUUAUGCGGUCAAAGGCAUUCGACUGGCCAUACUGCCAAAAAUGUUUCCGGUGCAAAUACUCACUUGUGAGGAGCAGGAAACCAUUCAGGGCCUUGUCGUCAGGCAGAUGUGCAAGGUAUGACUUCGAAAUAUAUGCCUUAUACUGGGGGACUGCGCCAGGGAAGGCACUGCAGAGUGGAUUAGAACCAUAGUUCUUAGAUUGCCAGAUUGGGAAAGGGUAGAACUGUCAGCAUGUGCUGGGGAUGAUAUACCAGGAGCCCACAUGGUGACAGUUUUUCUGCCAAAAGUCGCGA
rnacentral:lncRNA from 1 species